GGCGGAGCCAGGGACGGAGCCCUGGGGUCAGGCGCUGAGCCACGAGGGGCGCGAUCCGGCCGGAUCCAGCCGAGUGCAGCUCGCCGCCCUGCUCCGUGCUGGCCAGCAUGUCCUUCGUCCCUGUGGCCGAGGAUUCUGACUUCCCCAUCCAAAACCUGCCCUACGGCGUCUUUUCCACCCCAGACAACCCGAGACCGAGGAUCGGCGUGGCCAUUGGCGACCAGAUCCUGGACCUCAGCGUCAUUAAGCACCUCUUCACCGGGCCUGUCCUCUCCAAACAUCAGGAUGUCUUUGAUCAGCCGGCUCUCAAUAGCUUCAUGGGCCUCGGCCAGGCCGCCUGGAGGGAGGCGAGAGAGUCCUUGCGGAAUCUGCUGUCCACCAGCUGUGCCAGGCUCCGAGACGACACGGACCUUAGGAGACGGGCGUUCACGGCCCAGGCUUCUGCUGCGAUGCACCUGCCAGCCGCCAUAGGUGACUACACGGACUUCUACUCCUCCCGCCAGCACGCCACCAACAUGGGGAUCAUGUUCCGGGGCAGCGAGAACGCGCUCGUGCCAAACUGGCUGCACUUGCCAGUGGGUUACCACGGCCGUGCUUCCUCUGUCGUGGUGUCAGGCACGCCGAUCCGAAGGCCCACGGGGCAGAUGAGGCCCGACGACGCUAAGCCCCCCGUCUUUGGCCCCUGCAAGCUCCUGGAUAUGGAGCUGGAGAUGGCUUUCUUCGUAGGCCCCGGGAACAACUUGGGAGAGCCGAUCCCCAUCUCCAGGGCCCACGAGCACAUUUUCGGGAUGGUCCUCAUGAACGACUGGAGCGCUCGAGACAUCCAGAAGUGGGAGUACGUCCCCCUUGGGCCGUUCCUGGGGAAGAGUUUCGGCACGACCAUCUCUCCGUGGGUGGUGCCCAUGGACGCCCUCCUGCCCUUUGCCGUGCCCAACCCGGAGCAGGACCCCAAGCCCCUGCCGUAUCUCCGCCACGACCGGCCCUACACGUUCGACAUCAACCUCUCUGUCACCCUGAAAGGAGAAGGAAUGAGCCAGGCAGCCACCAUAUGCAGGUCCAACUUUAAGUACAUGUACUGGACGAUGCUCCAGCAGCUGACCCACCACUCUGUCAAUGGCUGCAACCUUCGGCCAGGGGACCUCUUGGCUUCUGGAACCAUCAGCGGGCCGGAGCCCGAAAGCUUUGGCUCCUUGUUGGAGCUGUCCUGGAGGGGAACGAAGGCCAUCGACCUGGGGAACGGACAGACCAGGAAGUUUCUGCUGGACGGGGAUGAAGUCAUCAUAACAGGGGCACUAAGGACACUGGCAGCGUUGGGCCACCCACCAGCCCCACCGUCCGCCUCCUGAAGUCUUCAUCCUGCAAAACUGAAACUCGGUCGCCGUUAAACAGCCGGUCCCCCGGCACCCACCACCUCCUUUCUGUCUCCGUGCACUUGGCUCCUCUCGGGACCUCACGGGAGUGGAUGCUGCAGCCUCUGUCCCUUUCUGGCGGCUCACUUCAGUCGGCAUCGUGUCCACCAGGCUCACCCGUGCUGUGGCAGCCGUCGGGCCUUCCUUCCUUGCUAAGUUGGGUAAUAUUCCGCUCCGUUCCUCCACGGAUGGGUAGGUGGGCUGCUUCCAGCCCUUGGCCGUCGCGGACGAUGCUGCCGCGAAUCUGUGCGCGCGGGUGUCUCCUGGGGGCCCCGCUUCGAUGCCUUGAGGUGCGUAGAUCCAGAGCCGAAUGGCCGGAUCGCUGCUAUUCCAGUCUGUUGUUACCCCUUACCCGUUUUUCUCUCAGAUUUUUGGUCUCUUUCUUGACCAUGGAAGCACAGAGUUGAGAUUGGUAUUUUAUUUGUUCGUCUGAUUUUUAUUUCCUAUUUGUGACUUUUCCUUUAUCCCUGAGUCCUACUCGUGUGUCUCCGUUGUCUUCCUCCGCCCGAUUUUCGUGACUAGUAUUAGCCCUUGGUUGUUUCUCUGUUCUUGGCUGUGCUUACGUUUCUGUAACUGAACUGUCAACGUUCGAUGUCCUUUUAUUCCCAGUCAUUACAGGUGAAGGAAUUGGGGAGGCUCAUCCCAGUUUCCACCUUCUUUCCCUGUUCUUUUCGUUGUAGCCGGUUCUGUUAUCUCACCCUUCCAUACUGUUUUUUAAUCUGCGUUUUCCGGUUCGACACAUUCAGUGCUCACCUGGGCCUGCGGCUGGGGCUGCCCAUCAGCACAGAUGUUCUCCAGCACGACUCUCAGGAAGAAGGGCUCGUGGGGACAACACUCCCUUCGGUCUUACCUGUUGGCUUCUUUGAAGAAGUACACCCGUCUCCUGCAACCGCUAACCCACAGAAGCAUUCCAGCUACCCUGCAGAAACACUACCUUGAGGGUGGUGUGCAUCUUCCUUUCCAGGCGUCCACGGAAAUCCUAGAGCUCCUCGAACCGUACCCUGAAAACACAUCUAUCUCACACGCAAAGAGACUGGAAUAUGGGGAGCAAGAGUUCUCUCGGAGUCUCAGAGCAGUGAGAGCUGAACUUGGAGCCAGCCCGCCUUUCUGGCCCGGCCAGGCCUGUGCCGUGGGCUCUGGGGGGCUCUCAGGGAAGGAGGGAUGUGCCGGACGCUCACAACAGGACUCGGUCCGGCCUCAGACACAGACUCUGCGAUCCCAGGCCCAGGAUCUGUCGUAAGUUCUCAUCAGACGCCCCUGCACAGGUUGUGGAGGUCAGACCUCGGAGAGGCUGCCUUUGGACCACCUCUGUCUUGUCUGGGGCCGGGACAAGGGGCUCUAGAACCUUGCAGCAUGCCCCAGAUUAUCUGUGUUUUCUGGAUCCUUCUGGCUGGGAUGAACGCCAAGGAUGUGCACUCAGAAAAACAGAUUCGCCUUUCCGCCCUCCAGAUGGAGUGUGCUCAUUAACCUUAAUUACCGGGCAGGCGCGUUCCCUCCGGCUCCAUUUCAGAGAGAGGACACGACACCCAAGAGAGAGUGGAACGCAGAGCUCAGCCGUGCUAUGGGAGCUGAGGAGCCGGCCCCCCCGGAGGCCCGCUCAGGGGUCCCCAGCAUCACGGAGUUGUCCUUGAGCAAGGAGCCUGCACCAGCCAAGGGGUCCAUCUGCCACCUUCUUGGGGAGGCGGGAGGUGAACCGGCUUCAGAGUCAGGGAUUCUGGGUGGGAAUGAGCCUCCAGGGAAAUGGCUCUGGGCUUCCCGGCACACUUAGCCCAGCGCGCUGUCUUGGGAUGGCGGACUAGUGGCUCCAAAUGGAGGCGAGUCCUGCCCAAAUGCCACGGUCCAAAUAUAGAACCUGGAAGUAAGUAUCUCAGUCGGGGCUUUAGGGAAAACUAGCAACAAGGGUACACAGAUCCGCGAUUCGCGUGUACAUUCGUGUCCCAGCCCGGGGCUGGGGUGAAACACUCAGGCCUCGCCGUCUGGGCCGGUGGGUUUCUUCGUCUCUGCGCCCGUGUGUGUCUUCGUCCGCUGGGGGGGACGCGAGCAACGGAAUGCCAGCUUAUCCCAGUUCUGGAGGCUGGAAGUCCCGGGGAGGAUCUGGCGGGCUUGUUUCUUCCUGGUUUGUAGAUGGUCACCUUGUCACGGCGACCCUGCCUCAGUGUGUGCGCACAAAGAGAAGGAGACCGCUCUCUCUUCUCUGUGUAAGGCCACCAUUUUAUCAGAGUAGGACCCUGACCUUUACGAACUCAUCUGACCUCCCGAAAGCCCUCUGUCAUCGCACUGGGUGUCGGGACUCCAACAAAUGAAUUUGGGGGCGGGGGACACAAUUCGGUCCGUGGCCACGUAUGAGUUCCCCGGGGAAGGGUCCGUGUCUGACUGCGGGGCACGGGCGGCCUGGGGCCGGGCCAGGCCCGCACCCUGCGGGGGGGUUGGUAGAUGUCCGGAUGGUGAGGACCAGUGUCUGGCUGUGGUCCCGCAGACACCGAUAGUAAGAGGACGGGGUGACUGGAACAGCCGCUUAUUGUUGUGGGGAGAAACGGCGGGCCGUGCGGACUCGGGGAGCUCACGCAGAUACGCGGAUGGGAGCUGCUCACGUGCCGGCACCAGCCGCUUCUGUGAAUAGAAGAGCCAUUGGGAAAGAGCCACGGGAAAGAGCCAUCGGGAAAGCCGAGUCAGGAUCACGUCCCCAGAUGGCAGACGGGUUACAUGCACGGCGUGUGCUCAGGACAGAGCAGUCAUCCGGUGUCUUAACCUCACACCAGUCACAUUGUCCUGCGUGCCUCUACUUGGUGGCCUCCCUCCUCUGUCAGGGGGAUUAGCAGACUGGUCAGAGGGAGGGAUGGGUGCGUGUUCAGAGAUGAUUAAGACGGUGACAUCUUCCAGAUGGACGAGAGGCGUGGAGGGGAUAGGAUCCAUGCAAUAUCGUGGUUACGACUUGUCUCCCGAUAUUCAUCCGUUCACUUAGAAACUGCGCGAAAGCGGGGGGGGGGGGGGGACAGGGAGAGAGCGAGAGAAUCCCAAGCAGAUUCCGCAUGGUCAGCAAGGCCUUCCAAUAUUGAAACCUCUCUAAUCUCUAAGGAACCUUCCAGAACAAGGAGGCAGAAUGAAGCAGCAGUGUUUUGGAUAAAAGGCAAGAGAACACGUCUGCCAAGAGCAUGCCUCGUCACCGCGCCGUGCCUUGAUAAGCCCUCGCACGGUUCCGCUGUGUCAUUCUGUGAUAGAUGCUGCUGCGGCUGCUGUCCCUCGGAUCUGGGGUUCCCUUCACCAUGCAGCGAGCUCAGCUCCCAGCCUCCGCGCGGCUUGCUCCCGGCAGCUCACAUCUACGGUUUCUUACCAGCCUGCCCUGGGGUUACUGCAGCUGCUCCCUCCCGUGCGUGCAGGGAGCUGGGAGUCCCCGGGAGCUUACGACACCCGUGCCCUCAAGGGCCCUCCGCCCAUCCAGAUUGCAGAAGAUGCUACCAUCAGGACAUUCGCUGUCAGGAAAGCGUGUGCUGGACGGGAGACGCCGGGGGUGGGACCGGACCGCCUUCUGCCAGUGCCGAUCAGAUUAGCUGGGUGGCUCUGGGAUUCCCCCAGCCAUCUCAGCAGAAGCCAGGAACAGAAAUGACAUCCUCCAGAAAAGACCUUUGGAAGACUGUCCCGUGGAGUAGGGAGAAGCCCUGUGACACACAUGGGCAAUACACACAGGCUUUGAGGCCAUUAUACCGGUAGAAACGCUACCAGCGUGGGCCGAAAAGGACAGAGAAGAGACUGGAUGAAAGGCGGCUGCUGGGCUCUCAAACUUCUACAAGCAGAACACAGGCUGGUAGGGACAGUUGCCAUCAACGUGUCCCACCCUUCAGGAACACAGGAGGAUGAUUCUUAGGGCAAGGGCCUGGGCCCAGACGGCUACAGAUUAUUCCCAGGCCCUGAAAACGAGUGGCUUUCCUGGUGCAGUUUUAAAACGGCUCCGGACGGUGACUCCUUUCUUUAAUUCGUUUUCUCUUUUGAAAUGGAAAUGUGUGUAACUGUUAUCCUGUGCCUGUCCCACCAGUGUAUUGUUGGAGCGGAUAACUCAUUUUCCGGGUCCCCACAGGUAGAAAGGGAUUUGCCCCAGGAUGGAUCAUAUGCAGAAUAUCACCAACACCUGAUUUAGACAGUCGAGCAAAGAUUUUGGGUUCGGGUUGAUGGUGUAAUGGGUUGCAAUGGGGUGAACACAUAGAGGAUGGACUGGAAUCUUUGGAGGCCAGAGAGUGGGCUGCAGGAGGCUGAGUAACGGCCCCGCAAGAAAUCCACAGCGAAUCUUUGGGACCUGCAAAUGUCACCUUAAGUAGCAAAACAAACUUUGCAGAUGUGAUUGAGUUAAGGGUCUCGAGAUGGGGGGAUUCUCCUGGGUUUUCUGGGCCACACGGAAUCACAGUUGUCCUUGCGAGAGCGACGCGGGGCAGCUCUUGACUGUAGCGGGGAAGGAAACGUGGCCGUGGAAGCAGAGAGGGGGCGAUGGGGCCAAGAAUGGGCUCUCCCGGAAGCCCCCGGAAAGAACCAGCCUCAAUUCCUGCCCCCCGCCCCAGACUCAUUUUGGACUUCGGACCUCCAGGACUGGAGCAGCCUGCAAUUAUGUGGUUCCAAAACACCCAGGCUUGCAGCAAUUUUGUGCACAGGCAAGAGGAAGUCACAAUCCUUUUGAUUCUGACAUCCGGUCUCUAAAAGGCAUAAGGCUAUUUUUGCUUGCUUUCCCCAUGAUUGGAGAACCGGAAACCAACCAACCAAGGGCACACAAGAACACGAUGUCUGGCUACUGGACGAGGGGUGACUCACGAGCAGGCUGUCAGAAAAAUGAGCUUCCUUAAAAGGGAACUGAAAGCCAAAACGAGGGGGAACGUGUAUACCGGCUUGGGCGCCGAUGCAGUCAGACGAGGCAGCCAUACAGCCGGGGAGAGGGCUGGGGGGAAGACAUCGCACAAAGACGUGGAGAGCAGCCGUGGUGGGGAAACUGAGGCACGGGCCCUGGCUCCAGAAGCCCCAGCUCUUCCCCGCCUGCUGACCCACCACGCGCCACAGCAGUGAGAGGCCAGAGCGAGGACGUCGGCCGGGACCCCAAGACACAAUGGGAGGGGACAGGGCAAGGCCAUUCUUGUCUUUCCACUAAAAGAUCUGUGUUUUGAAGUGACCCUAGUGAACUUCUCUUCCUCACAAAAUCACUCUCCAGGGGCGCCUGGGUGGCUCAGUCCCUUAAGCAUCUGACUCUUGAUUUCGGCUCACGUCAUGAUCUCACGGUUCAUGAGAUCGAGCCCGCUCUGGGUGGGAUUCUCUCUCUCCCUCUCUCUCUGCCCCCUCCCCUGCUUGCUCAACACUGUCUCUCUCAAAAUAAAUAAACUUAAAAAAUAAGAUAAAAUAAAGGUAAAAUACAAUCGCUCUCCAACAUAAAACACUGAAAACCACCAAAAAGCCAAGGGUAGCACCACACUUCUCCAGAAUGCUGCGUGAGGCAGUGCGACGUCACGGGAAAACUCAGACUCCAGAGACUCACUGUUGACUAGCGGAGCCCCUGGAAGACGUUGCCCCAUUCAGUCCCAGUCCCCUUGCCUGUAAGAUGGGGGUGUCCUGGGGAUCCUUUUCCGGGCCACGUUUUCCCUUCGCCCGUGAGCACAGGACAGAACAUACCUUGCAGGCUUUCAGUUACUCCCUGUCUGCUCCGAGCCUGCCCGCUGUCUGUUUCACCUCUCGGGUAUCCCCCCACGUUCGGGGGGACCCCCACAUUCGGACCUGUGCCUGCCUGGAUCCAGCUUGCUUCGGGGCCCCCUCUGUUUGUCAGCACCCGUGUUCUGCACAUGGCUUCAGCGUGCAAAUGCGGAUCUGGGGUCCGGGCCACCUGACGUCUGCUGUGCUGAGCGAGAGCUGCUCUGGUUCAUCUGUCCCUCACUCUGUGUCCCCGUCUGGCCUGAGCUUUGUCCCCACGGGCGACAGCAUCCCCUGCGGCCCUCCCCGCAGCGGCCCCGUCUGUGCCUUCCACGGCACGGCUCCAGCCCACACCUGGCCCCAGACACCCCCGACCUCUGGGGCAGGAGGUCAGGGUCCUGCCCACACACUGCUCCGCUUGGUGCCUCUGAUCCAAGCUUCCUGGGAAGUAACGAGAAAUUUUCUUAUCCCACAAGUAAAGAAAAACUGAAGCGAAUGCAAGUUAUCUACCAGCCCUUCAAGCAAAACAAAACGGCUCGAAGACGCACCUUUCGCGCCACGAAAGGAGCCAAAGUGAAGAAUCCAAGGGGAGGAAGCCAGGAAGAGAAGAGUGAAACCAACAAGGCAAUAAUCUACAGCACAGACAACUGUGAUACAGGCACAUACACGGCGACGCAAACGUUAAAAAUACUUUUUUAGAUGAAACUUACAUAACCUAAAGGCUUUAUCAGUAACGGCGACACAAACGUUAAAAAUACUUUUUUAGAUAAAACUUACAUAACCUAAAGGCUUUAUCAGUAACGGCGACACAAACGUU